CUACAAAAGUUUGGUCGAAGUCUAGUUCCCGUAGAAGUCCGGAUGGGGAUUGUUUGUAGAGGAAGCUCGAUCGAAGCCUGCCUGCAAUAGAAGUUCAGAGGGAAUUCGUUCACAAUAGAAGCUUAGGUGGAGGCUUACAGUAGAAAUCUGUCACGGAUCACUCGUAGUAGAAACUCGAAGUAGACCACUUGUAGUGGUAGCUCGGAGUAGAUCGUUUGUAGUAGAAAUUCAAAGUAGACCGCUUGUAGUGGUAGCUCGGAGUAGAUCAUUUGUAGUAGAAAUUUGAAGUAGACCGC
rnacentral:lncRNA from 1 species